AUAAACUCCAAAACAAUGCAACUUUUUUCUCUCUAGUUUUAUCUUCAGCACAGCUUGACUCAUCAUAAUUUUACCUUUAAGUAUCACCUGCAUUAAUAAACAUACAACUAGGUAUCAAUAAAUUUCUGUGGAAAAGGAAAUUAUCACAAGAUCAAAAUUGAAGAACCAGUCUCAUUUCAUCUAAUAUGAAAAUGAUCAACAUAUAUAAAAUUAAAUGCAUAACCCCAUCUAACUGCAACGAAACAUCCAAAAAUCCCAAAUGAGGAAGAUUCUACAAAAUGUGUGACCGCUGCUGCUGUCAAGGUCAUCAAGAAAAGGAAAAAAAGAAACCAUCACAAUCCAGAGGAGCCCAAGAAGAUAUGACAACUAAAUAUUAGGUAGCCACCUGGAUGGGAUCCUGGAAUAGAAAAACGGCAGUAGGGAAAAACUAAUGAAGUAAAAUUAAACUCUGGAGUUUAGUUAACAGUGAUGUACUUAAAUUGGUUCUUUCACAGUGACAAGUAUACUAUAGAGGUUCUUAAAAUUGACAUUUUAUUGAAGAGAGUACAAUAAAAUUAUAAUCACCAAACCAA
ensembl:lncRNA novel transcript